rnacentral:lncRNA from 1 species
CAUAGAUGUUGUUGCUAUCACAAACAGUCAUCUGUGUAGUUUUGCUUAUACAUAAAUAUUUGCUUAAAUUGCAAUGUUUUAAACUUUGUUUGAUUAAAAUAGUACUUAACAUGUUCUGACAAACCUUUAUGGUAAUUGGUGAGUGUAUAUUCCGGUAGGAAAUUUCUACAAAUAGGGUAAAAGAGACACAAGAUAUUUUGGAUGUACGCACAACAACCCAUCUACACACACAAUCUUAGGACAUAAAGAGAUGUACCUACGGUGGUCAAC